GAAGAGAGAGUCGUCGCGGGCGCCGCGGCGGGUGAGUCAGAGGCACUCAUUCAUCCUUAUCUUUUUUUAAAGAAGUGUAAUCUUCCGGGGUAGAUGAUCUGGAAGAUUAAGAAUAGGAGGGAUGCACUUUGCACGUCCUCAGAGACACACUGUGAGUCUUGUAACAAAAAGGGGUGUGAGCGUUGGAGACUAGGGUUGUGUUUUAUUUUAUUUUACUUCCAUUGUCCUUUAUGAAUCACUUUCCAAAUGAUUCACAAUGAGGCAUCAAAGGACCAAGUGGGGCUAGGGAUGUCCCCUGGAAAAACGCUGCCAGUCCGUGUAGGAAACGCUGAGCUAGAUGGUGCAAUAUCUGACUCAUUAAAAGGCAGCUUCCUAUGUUCCUCUCUAAACCAGCCCUUAAACAUGAGGCCUGGGAUCUUAUUUUAUCUUAAAGAGUACAGCUGUAGCUCAUUCUCGGUCGUGGCGCCCGCCCUGUGGAACGCCCUCCCACCAGAUGUCAAAGAGAAAAAUAACUACCAAACUUUUAGAAGACAUCUGAAGGCAGCCCUGUUUAGGAAAGCUUUUAAAGUUUGAUGGUAUUUUAAUAUUUUGUUGGAAGCCGCCCAGAGUGGCUGGGGAAACCCAGUCAGAUGGGCGGGGUAUAAAUAAUAAAUUAUUAGUAGUAGUAGUAGUAACAGCAUCUGCUUUGAAUGUGGAAGAUCCCUGGUUCAGUCCUUGAUGGUCUGGGAGAGAGACUCCCUUGCCUUGAAACCAUCAAGAGCUGCUGCCAGUCAGUGCAGGAAAUACCAGUGGUCUGAUUUGGUAUAAGGAAGCUUCCUAAAUUCCCUGUCUAUCUAUUGAUCAGUCGUCCAACACACACACACACAAAAUCUCAACUCCAAAGCAGAUCCGGAACAGGAUAAGAAACCCUACUUAAAAAGCUUGCUGAAAAGAUAGAGAUGGCAAUGAUCUGAUCUGUGGUGUUGUUGCUUAAUUAUUAUAAAUGUGCGUUUGGGUUUUCUAUUCUAACCCUGUGUACUCAGGAGUCAGUCUUCUUGAAUUCAGUGGGGCUUCCUUCCCAGGCUUUCUCAUAAACAAUACAAAAAUCCCUGUUGCAAAAUAGUGAGCAAGGUUUUGGGUCCUACAGAGCUCUUCUUCAUCAGCCUGGAUGCCAAGUGAAACAGAGCAACGUGGGGGACCUGGCUCAGUGCGGGAGAAACAAGGCUUGAGGCUGGGUCACAAAUUUGACAUUUAGUCAGCAUCUUAAGAGGGAGUGUGUGGGAAGUGAUGGCAGACAGUAUUCUUACUGUGCUGUGAGGAAGGGACUUGUAAGGUCUGAAUGCUUGCAUCAUUUUAAAAAUUGCCAAUCAGAAAAUUAUUAUUAUUAUUAUUCAAUCAUCUUUCAUUACGAAGAGAAAUGCCAAGGUGGUUUACAAACAAAAGCCAGCAAUGAAAAACCAAUAUCCAUAUAUACGUCGCCAAGCUUUUGCUGGCAGCCAAAGGCUCAGAGCCAAUAUAUUCAGAUACUUUCAUUUAUUUACUUGACAUUCCUUAAAAUUCUUACUCAGCGGAACCUCCCCGAGUGACUUGCUCUUUUAUUGCUUCUGUUUUGCAACAAAUAGAUAGGGGAUAAGAAAUAAUCAGGCUGCUGCUUUAUAAGCAAAUAUUGAUAAUGAUUAAAACAAUACGUAUAACCUGAUGAAGCAGAGAUGUCUUAGCCAAGCCAUCAGAAGGGAGAGGCAGGAAAAACUGGUUGUCCUCAGCUUUCCACCCUGCUCUGUGUCCUGUCAGUUUUCGGGAUAUUUCCAGUGAGUUUAAAUUAAGGCUGUGUCCCAUUUAACAAAAUUUGGGUUGAUUCAUUGUAUGAGUGUUGAUUGACUGAACUUCCUGAUGGUAGGAGCAGUUUUACAAUGGAAUGGACUGCCUUGGAAGGUGGUGGACUCUCCUUUCCUGGAGGAUUUUAAACAGAGGUUGGAAGGCCAUCUGCCAGGGAUCCUUUAGCUAGGAUUCCUGCAUUGCAGGGGGUUGAGCUGGAUGAUCCUUUGGGAUCCCUUUCCUACAGUUCUAUGUUUCUGUUAUUCAGUCUGCGCAGGAAGCUUGUGGAGCUUUCAGUCCAAAGGCAGUCUAUCAUCAAAUAUCAGUUACGGGAGAGUAAUGGAUGCUGGGAUCGGGCCUUUGGUGUGGUGACAGAUGCCCUUUGGAACUGAAACUGUACAUCAGACAGGCGCUCUCUCCGUGGGAUCUCACGUUUGCUAAAGGCUUUCUUCUGUCAACAAGAGGCUUGUUUCUGCAGCCACACAAGCAAACCCUUCUCUCCAACCUCCAUCCAGGCAAGAAAUGAGGGAGGACAAAAACCAGUGCCAGAUUUACGUACAGUGGUACCUCAGGUUACAUUUGCUUCAGGUUACAUACGCUUCAGGUUACAGACUCCGCUAACCCAGAAAUAGUGCUUCAGGUUAAGAACUUUGCUUCAGGAUGACAACAGAAAUCGUGCUCCAGCGGCGCGGCGGCAACAGGAGGCCCCAUUAGCUAAAGUGGUGCUUCAGGUUAAGAACAGCUUCAGGUUAAGAACGGACCUCCAGAACGAAUUAAGUACUUAACCCGAGGUACCACUGUAUAAACUAAACAAGCUAUAGCUUAGGGCCCCACUCUCUUGAGGGCCCCAAAAAAAUUAAAGGGAAAAAAACCUGGAUAUACAUUUCCAAAAUCUAACGUAAAAUACAAAUAAAAUAAAACCUACAUACAUCAACAGCGUUUUUGUUGUGUAGGCUCCUAGGAUGUAAGUAAUGCCCCCUGCCUCCUAGCCUGCUCCCUAAAAUAUAACUGGUUCUUAACUGUGUUUCAGUUCAACAAUUACUUGGAUAAAAUACAUAUUUUGUUAUGUGCAAAUAGCUUUAGAUACUUAUUAUCCACAAAUGGCUUUAGAUACUUAUUAUCCACAAAUUACUGUAUAGCAUAUAUUCAACCCCAAAAAACCAGCGACAAUUUGUUGUUGACAAAGGACAGCUGGACAUAUAAAGGGCCCCAUUCCCUUCAGGGCCCUUAUCAAACCUAAAUCCAGCCCUGACAAGAACCAACACCCAAGGGUGCCACAAAACAGGGCUGGCGUGGGGGCGUGGCUCUGCAGGGUGUGUGGCCUGAGGGCGAGUCCUGGGGGCCGGGCAGAGAGGUAUGGAGGGCCACAUUAUUAUUUUUUACCUCCAAGGGUGAGGCCCACCAUCCCUGGCUUACGUGUGAAGAUGGCGCAUGUUGCGCAGACGAGUGUGGGCAAUGAAAGACCCCUCCACUGAGAGGCAGACAAGCGAAGAGGGCAAACCAGUCUUCCCAUUCCCAGAUACAGAAGUCAACAGGACAGACACAGGGGGGUUAUUUUUACCACACUGGAGACAGGUCAGUGUCCUCCGCGGCACAUAAAGGAGGCAGCCAUCUAGCUUAGUGAGCACAAGUUAUAGAAACAUGGGACUGGAGAGCUUGUAGGCACCCCAGGGGUCAUCUAGCUCAACCCCCUAUGGGGAGGGAAUCACAGCGAAAGGAUCGCUGGCAGAUGCCCCCCCCACCUCUGCUUAGAAACCUCCAACGAAGGAGGAAGUCCGUUCCACUCAGAAAGUCUUUCCUGCAUCCGACUCCUGCUGCAAACCCUCCUCCCGGUCCAGAAUCUGCCUUGUGUUUACAGUGGUACUUCGGGUUAAAAACUUAAUUUGUUCUGGAGGUCUUUUCUUAACCUGAAACUGUUCUUAACCUGAAGCACCACUUUAGCUAAUGGGGCCUCCUGCUGCUGCUGCACCACCGGAGCACAAUUUCUGUUCUCAUCCUGAAGCAAAGUUCUUAACCUGAGGUAAUAUUUCCGGAUUAGUGGAGUCUGUUACCUGAAGCGUCUGUAACCCGAGGUACCACCGUAUUUACGAAUGGAUUGAUCGGACAAGAGCAAGAUUGGGUCCAACAGUCAUAAAGGCUGUUUCUUCAUGUGCCCUAGAGGGAAGUGAGGGGCUGAUGGGGCUCUUCCACCUAGGAAGGGAGCCCAUCUAAGGAGAAGGAAAACUCUGAUCCUAAACCUCUGUUGCCUUGUGAGAUCUUCGGGAGAAAAACGGCUAAAGUGGAAAACAGGGGUAGGCAAACUAAGGCCCGGGGUCCGGAUCCGGCCCAGUCACCUUCUAAAUCUGGCCUGCAGACGGUCCGGGAAUCAGCGUGUUUUUACAUGAGUAGAAUGUGUGCUUUUAUUUAAAAUGCAUCUCUGGGUUAUUUGUGGGGCAUAGGAAUUCUUUCUUUCUUUCUUUCUUUCUUUCUUUCUUUCUUUCUUUCUUUCUUUUCAAAAUAUAGUCCGGCCCCCCACAUGGUCUGAUGUUAUAAUAUAUCAGUUCCAACAGUCAUACAACAUAUCUUCUCAUCUUAUACAAUAUUUUAGACUUCCGUCAACGCCUCUGAUGAUUUUCCGUUCUUAAUCACUUAUUCUGCAUUUCUUAAUUUCUAUAUUAUCCUUAACGAAUCAUUCUUUUCAUAGUCUUUCUUGCAAUAUUUCAAAUAAUCCACUUUACAAAAUUUCUUGCAAUCCUACUAGCGUAAUCUGUUCCUCACAAUUACUUUUCAAAUAAUUCAUAUACCCGUAUUUUUCGCUCUAUAGGACGCACUUUUUCCCCUCCAAAAAUGAAGGGGAAAUGUGUGUGCGUCCUAUGGAGCGAAUGCAGGCUUUCCCGGGCUUCCUGCAGCUCCGCGCCACCCUCCGGAUCCCGGCGCGAAGCCGCGCGGGGCUCCGGAGAGUAGCGCAGAGCUGCCUGCAUUCCAAAGCCUGGUGCGCACCGAAGAGCGCGCCCAGGCUUCGCGCACCUCUCCACAAGCCUGGGGAGACCGGCUCGGUUCCCUAGGCUUGCGGAUAGCAGGCUGUUCUGGGGGCUGGGGUCGGGGGAAGCUCGGGCUUCCCCCGCGCCUGCCCCAUGCCUGGGGAGGGAUUUUUUUUUUCUUUAUUCCCCCCCCCCAAAAAAAUUAGGUGCAUCCUAUGGGGCGGUGCGUCCUAUGGGGCGAAAAAUACGGUAUUUACUCCAGUCCUCUAAGAAUCUCUGAUCUCACAGGUUUCGAAUCCUUCCUGUUAAUUUAUCUUAUUCUGCAUAGUCCAUGGACUAUGUCCUAACCCCCAAGUCCUAACCCGACACCCUAAACGCUGCCCCACGCCGGCUCUCCAAGCGAACAUUAGGUCUAAUGAUAGGGCCGGCUCUCUUAAGUCCCUGGGCUUGAGGAGAUUUGGCAUUUGAUCUUGUAGGAGCCGUGCAGCUUCACCGGAUGUGGCUGUCAUCGAUGGACAAUUUCGCUUGCUGCAAGCCGCUCCCCAGCCGCAGACCGGAGAGAUCCCGUUUUUUCCUCACCAUUCCCUCUCCGACAUAGUCAUGGGAGAGAGAUUUAUUUGCCUCAUUCGGAGAGCUUGCCUCUUUUGCUCUCCCUUUUUUGUGUGCGUGAGUCAGUGAUUCAACCCACCCCGAAGAGUUUUGCAAUGACCUGAUCUCUCACACGCACGACUCUCCAGAAGGGACUGUUGGAAAGAUCAGCUCGGAGCACAAAGAUCACAGUGAUGAGAGGGUGAUCUUGUCGGCUGGGGGGGGGGUCUCCCUUGUGGAAAGAUCCUGCUGGAAUGAUUUAACAAGGCUGCAUCAUAUAUGGCUCCCCUUUAUCACAUACACAGCCCAACAAGACAAUAACAAGAAUCCACCAACAGCAUACAAAUCAAUAUGGCUAACCUGAUCCAAAACACCCACCCACCUCACUCACACACGAAAACAAAGAUCAACACAGCCAAUCACAAGCAAACAACCACACCCUAGGCCAACCCCAACCUCUCUCACCACCAAAGGAACACAAGUGAACAACACAAGCAACGCUGGCACCAAACUCUACAUACAUUAAACAUAAUAGAAACAUCGCCACCCGACCCCACCCCCACCCAUCUACCGUCCCUCCACCCCCAUUUAUUUUAUUUUUUUCUUCUCCCCCUAAUGUCUCAACAAAUGAAACGGAUUUGUAAAAAUGUUACAUGGAAAAAAUAUGAGGCAUUACACUUACUUCUGUAAAAUAAGAAAAUCCUUAAUAAUAUAUAUAUAUAAAAAAACAAGGCUGCAUCAUUCAUUUGCAUACAGUGGCGAAGGGAAGAUUGUUAGCUAUUCAGGGUGUAGUUCAUUGAUUAAGUCGGCAAGUGUUUGAGUUGAUUAAGCGGGCAUUUAAAAGAAGGCAAAAAGUCCAUCAAUCUGCAAGAAGGCGGGACGCUUUGGGGCCAGUUGAUUAAGUGGGCAAAUGUCCAGGUUGAUUAAGUGGACAUUUAAAAAAACGCAAAAGCCGAUCAGGAGGGCUAGAUGCCUUGACCCCUUCACAAGGCCGGUGGAGACCAUUUGAUGCCAAAGCAGUUUGCUUCUUAAUUGGCGUCUUUUUAAAGCUGGGCAAAAGUUGUCCUUCGUUCCUGCCUCCCUGACUCUGUGCUAGCGCCGGCGUUUCCCCGCGGUGCCAUGAAAAGGUUGCAAUCGCUGCAGAUUUUAUUGGCUGCCCCGAUUUCAGUUUGGUGUUGUGCUGUAAACAGCCUUCAGAGAGACCUUUGCCGUUUGGUGUGGUGAUAAAAAAGAAUGAGAGAAGGGAAGGGAAUGAGGCCGCGAGGGCUACUGCCAGAUUUAUUUCUUUUUAAGGAUUUAUCUGAGUGUGCGAAGCGGGCUAGCCCUAUAAAACUGCUGCUAGCCGUGAUAGCUCGAUGAAGCCUCCAUAUCCAGGCACAGUCUAUCUGCUAAACGCCAGCUGUUGAAGGAAAAACCAGGGAAAGCUGAUGCCUCACUUGGGGGCUUCCAGCUGGGCACCGCAGGCAAACAGGCCUGUGGACUGAUCUCUCUAUCUUCCAAUAUACAUUAAAAUGUAAGGUGUCGUCACACUUCAGCGUGGGUGCGGUUCAGGAGAGGCCCUUACACAGUGGUUUAGUAAAAGGGAGUCGGUGGGGGGGCUUUGGGGAGUCUAUGGAGAAAUAGGGAAGGGGUGAAUGAGGUGUAAAGGGAAGGGGUUGUUAAUAAUAAUAAUAAUAAUAAUAAUAAUAAUAAUAAUUUAUCUAUACCCUGCCCAUCUGGCUGGGUUUCCCCAGCCAUUCUGAGCGGCUCCCAACAGAAUAUUAAAAACACGAUAAAACACCAAACAUUUAAAACUUACCUAAACAGGUCUGCCUUGUUUCAUUUUUAUUCAUUUAUUGCAUUUAUAGCCCACCUUCCCCCUUUCAAGGAGCUCUUGGGAGACCCGGGUUUGAAUCCCCACACUUUGCUGUGUGUAGAGUGAUGGGAAGCUGGCAGAGGGGUUGGCGAGAGGAGAGGGUGUGUGUCCAUGAAUAUGUCAGUCUGGAUAGCUCAGUUGGUUAGAGUGUGGUGCUCAUAAUGCCAAGGUUUCAGGUUCAAUCCCUGUAUGGAACAGCUGCGUAUUCCUGCAUUGCCGGGGGCUGGACUAGAUGAUCCUCGGGGUCCCUUCCAACUCUGCAGUUCUAUGAUUCUGUUGUAUUUAAAGCUGCAGCGGCAGCAGACAUGCAAAGAGGAUGUUCCUGCAUGCAGUUGGUACCAGGGGUGGGUGGCUGGGAAUCCCUGAAUUUCAACAAAUUGGAUGGAGAAGGAAGGAAAUGGUUACUCAAAACGCCCUUACUUCUCAUUUGCUGGCAAAAAAAAGUUGUGAAUUACCGUAUUUUUUGCACCAUAACACUCACUUUUUUCCUCCUAGAAAGUAAGGGGAAAUGUCUGUGCGUGUUAUGGAGGGAAUGCCUACGGGUGGCAUGCCUACGGAUUUUCCUCCUCUAAAAACUACGUGCGUGUUAUGGUCGGGUGCGUGUUAUAGAGUGAAAAAUACGGUACUUUGCUUCUAAUGCCCUUCUCCCUUCCCCCAACAAAAACCACAUCAUUUUAUUUUUUAUUAUUGUUUUAUUUUAUAUUUAUUAAUCUUUUAUACUGCCUUCCAUCUAAGGACCAAAGGGUGGUUCACAAUAUAAAAAAACCAAAAACAACUACAGUGGUACCUCAGGUUAAGAACUUAAUUCGUUCCAGAGGUCUGUUCUUAACCUGAAACUGUUCUUAACCUGAAGCACCACUUUAGCUAAUGGGGCCUCCUGCUGCUGCCGCGCCGCCGGAGCAAGAUUUCUGUUCUCAUCCUGAAGCAAAGUUCUUAACCCGAGGUACUAUUUCUGGGUUAGCAGAGUCUGUAACCUGAAGCGUACGUAACCCGAGGUACCACUGUAACGUAGAUUUUGGAGAGUUUCGGGUGGGAAGUUCCAUGCCAGAUUUCUCAAAUCCGGACUGGGGCAGUGGGAGGUGUUGGCAGUCCUGCAGAUGUUGCCACACUACAACUCCCAUCAUCCCUGGCCAUGCUGGCUGCUGGGAGUUGGAGUCCGACAACAUCUGGAAUGCCACAGGCUCCCCAUCAUUGGAUCAGAGCCAACUUCCCCAACCUGGUGCCCUCUUGGUGUUGUUGACUGGCAAGUCCCAUCCGUCCUGGCCAGAUGUUUUGGCCCAGGAUUCCUGGCGUUGACGGGGGCUGAUGGGAGUUGCAAGUCCAAAACAUCUGGAGAGCACCAGGUAUGAGAAAGCUGCUGUUAGAGGAUUGUGUAUCGGGUCGAGACAGAGGCUCUUGGAGGGUGUAGAUGGCUUCGCAAGCAGCAAAGUUCCCAUCAGUGUGGUUUCCCCGCCUGAGACACACCGGCACUUCGCACAGUCAGAACAAAACAGAGCAAGCAAAAGGGUGCACAGGAAUGACUUUGCAAAAGAAGGGCUCUGCGUCUCCGCCUGGCUGGAUGCAAAUGGCUGCCGCUAGUGGCUCUCCUUCAGUGCGCAGCUAUGCUCUGCACACUUCUCUCCCAGAAAUGGAAGCUGAGAUGUCGGCUUUUGCCAGUAUAAGUUGACUGGGUUGGAGCCAUCAGCGACUUUUAACCAUGCCUGCUGAGUGAAACUUCCAUAUUCCAGCGCAGUCUAUCUUGAGAUUGCAAGUUCCCCAGAGAGUUGCCUGAUGCCCCCUUCAGCACUGUUUUUCAUAGGGUCACUUAUUUAAUUGGUGGGUUUUUAAAAAAAAUAUUUGUGUGCUUUGAGUUAUCCCUGUUUUAUUCUGGGAGUUUCCUUGGGUUCUGCACUAGGAGAAAGGCUGGAUAUAAAUAAAAUAAAUUACUCUCCUAAUUUAUUCCUGUAUUGCAGGAGUUUGGACUACAUGAGCCUUAGGGUCCCUUCCAACUCUCCAAACCUCCAUCCUUUCCUUCAAGCCUGAGAAUGAUUGUUCUCUUGUGUUUUUCCAGCCCCCAGAGAAGGAAAUUGGUUGAAAUAUGAGCUGCCUCUGUCAUCUCCAGAAGAGGCAAACCAGUUUGGGUUAUGUAAGCGUUUGCAACGGCUGCCAAUGAAUUUAGGAUACCUGGCCUCAGGUGUUGGAGCCGAACCUGGAAUGGAGUUGCCAAACUCGUGACUCAUUUCACCGUUGAGCCGCUUCUUUCUACUCUUCCCCUGCAAUGGCAGCCGGUCCGUUAGGGCAAAUGGGUCGCUGCCCCACAGACCUCACUUGCCCUGCCUUCUUUCUCAAAACCAAGCCGGCGAGUGGCUCUGGGUGUCAGCCUCCUCCUCCAUCUCAGGAGGAAGAAACUAGGAUGAUCUGGCUCUGCCUCUCAUUGUCUGUGGCUCGGUUUGGGGUCCCUGCCCCACCAGCCCCAAUGGGCACCAGCCACCAGGGGAGCAUCGGAAGAGGCUGCUGAUCAGGCCAAUGACCCAUCGAGUCCAGCAGCCUGCUCUCACAGAAUCAUGAGGACUAGGACCGUGCCUCUCAAAAACAAAAGCGAGCUUCUCUGCAAGCUGAAUUCUGUAGCUAUUGUCAAAGAUAAGAGGUUGGCUGCUGGAUCAGGCCAGAGGGGGCCUAUCUAGUUCAGUAUCCUCUUCUCAGAGUGGACCCCCAGAUGCCCCAAUGGGAAGCCCACAAGCAGCUCCCUAGUGCAACAUGUCGCUUCCAGCAACUGGCAUGGAGAAGCAGGACUUCUUGGUUUCUGAGUUGUUCACUCUUGAGUUCAGUUCUCCACACUGCCUUGCAUUUUUUUUUUUAAAGUCCUCAUGGAAAUUCAGCAGCAUUUUAGGGUGAAUUUCUAAUAUACACACGUCUGUAUGCAAUUUGCCCCAAUGUGCUCACUUUCUGCAAAUGCAUUUUUUUUAAAUGUUUUUUCAUGAAUAUUUGCAUUUUUUAGGCGUGCCUUACCCUGGCCUGUGCAUUUUUGCACACAUCGCUUGACUGGAGAACUGCAAAAUUCUGAGAAGCGUGAAUUUCAAUGGGCGGCUGCAUUGCCAGUUCACGUAUGGCUUUCAGGAAGUGCGAAUUGAGGCGUCGCCGCCUCUGAACACAAACGGAACCACGUUUCUCCCCAGGUAAGGCUGGGGAUAAGGCUCCCCGUUUGCCAACCGGAGAGCGGCUCCCCGUCAGUGUAGGCAAUAUUGAGCUAGAUGGACCAUUGUUCUGACUCCCCACAAGGCAGAGUUCUUUCAUCUGGUUGGUCUCAUCACAGCACAGAAUGUGGGCGCUGAGAUCUUCCCACUAGGCGAAGGAUGCUUUGAGUCGCUUUGCUCUCAUGAGCAAGACUUCAAGGUGGGCUAUUUUGGUGCCUAUGCAAAUGACACCCUGGGGCUGUCCUGACGGCUCCCCAGUGGGUCCAGUUUCCUCUUUCAGCCACAGACUUCUGGGCAAUGACACUGUCAUAUGAAGAUUUAGCACAGACUGAGAAAGAGCUGUAGGGUAGGGAGGGACCCGAGGGUCAUCUACACCAACCCCCUGCCGUGCACCCCCCCAUACCUGUUCAUGCAGGACCAGCAGCUGCAUGCAACACAUCUGGUGGCACAAGAUGUCAUUCAUGCUGAUGGUGUAGGUGCCACUGCCUCGCCCACCCCUGCCCCAGAACAUCUGUUUCCUGCUUGCCAUGUGAGAAUGAAAUUCGCAGGUGGCUCUCCUUGGUCACACGGUAGUGUGACCAGGAGAACUGAUGCUGAUGCAGCAUGGUGACUGAGGCGCACACACACGCACUUGAACAUGGCUCCUGGUCCAUCACAUCAAAUGCUUCUGCACAAGCCACACAGAACACACAUUGUGGUAGUGUCCAAUCACAUUAUUGGGGUACCAGACUUAUUUUUACAUCUCUCUGUUGUGGGCCACUUGUAAUAUCAAUUCAACACAUCAGCACAACUGUACCCCCCCCCCAAUUUGGAAAUUUAGAAAACCGAGUGGUAAUGGUUCAGGCAUGUUGGCUAAAAGGUGAGACCUCCGUGGCUGAAACGCACCUGGCUCUUCUAGUAAGAGAUCAGAGGCUCCCACCUGUGGUUUGUGAGCUUAAUUCAGGUGGUCAGUGGCAUGUCUGUGGAUUUGUAGUUGGAAAAGACUGAAUGUUCACAUACUGAUUUUAAAUGGACACAGGAGUUUGACGUGGAGUUAUGCAUUUGGACAUACUGUUUUGAUUCACUCCUCAUAUUAAAGUGUUAAAUUAUUUAUUUCAUAAGAGUUGGGUAGCAGCUGAUUGCACAAUUUAUACUUUUGAUGCUUUGCAAUUCAUUGAUUUGUGUUUUAUCCUGGCUUGUUGACAAGUCUCUCACUCUAUAUCUUGUAGGGUUGUUGUGAGAAUGGCAAGGUAAUAUUUUUCUUACCUGCUCCUGUUAUUCAAAGAGGUGUAGUCAUUACUUUUUAAAAAAAGAAAUCUAAUUAAAUUGGAGUUGUUUUAAUUGCCCCGACAUUGGUUAUGUGUAUAUGUUUUGAAUAUUCAGAAGGCUGCCAUCCUAUUUACCUGGGAGCUAGUCCCAUCUGACUCAAUGGAACUUACUUCUGAGUAGACUCUGUCCCCAUCUGCACUCUACAUUGGAAGCAGUAUCAUACCACCUUAAACAGUCAUAGCUCCCCCCACAAAUAAUCCUGGGAACUGUAGCAUAUUAAGGGUGCUGAGAGUUGUUGAGAGAGCUACAAUUCCCAGUGUGUCCUGGGAAGAGGGACUAACAGUUAAACCACUCAGGAACGACAGGAUGCGGCCUAGACAAGAGCAGUGCCAAAAGCCAAGUGUCAGAAACCAAAGGCAUUUAUUAGAAAUAUUAUGCAGACCCUGCGCCCAAUGCUUCAGUAACGUUAAUCUUCUUUAAAUAAAAACAUUGGCAGUCGCACGUCCUCGACUGUUGAAGACUCCGAGGGCCUGUACAUUCUAGUGUGCUCUUGGUGUAUAAAUAAGAUGGUUUUGCUCUCCGGCGGGAACAGUUCAGACUUGAAGCGCCCAGUCCAGGCCGAGAGAGAGGUCCGGUUUUUGUUUUUUUAAUAACUGAAACACUCACAAGGAAAGAUGAACAAACAAAAUAUCUGGAAGUUGGCACGUGUAAAGGCUAACAAAAUAAAGAUAAUAGAGGGCAGGGCAGGGAUCCAGAAUCUGUUAGCUCUCCCAAAACAGAUUAAUAAGCAGAGGAAAGGACUCUGUUGGUUCAUUGCCAGCCGGAGUCAAUUGAUGGCAUAUUGGAAAGAUCAUUAGCACCUGCAGACACCAGCCAUUCCAGUUGGGACACCUGCUCAGGAGUCAUUUGGGUUUUUACAAAAUUAUGGGGUGGGGGCUCCAGCACCUCUCCAGAUGUCAGGAACCCCCGGGCCUUAUCCUGCUCGCUUGUUGCUCCUGCUGGGAUCCAGUGACAUCUGCAGGCCACAGAUGUCCACGCCCAAUUCCCUGCAUUAUAUUAUGGGGUGCAUUUCACUGGAGAAGCAUGGAAGAUGGGGAAUCCUUCAAAUGAGUAGAUUCUCCUGCACGUGUUGCUGGGACUCUCAACGGUCACCAGCCGGCACAGCUGCCAGGGAUGAUGGGAUUUCAGAGUCCAACAUCUGGAGGAACACUGGCGCUCCAUCCCUGGCCUACAGUCACACGACCCCCAACGCUCCUAUGUCAAGGACGGUGCCCCCCUUGGCAUCAUUUUGGGAAAGGGGGGCGCAGGUUGAUACGGCCGCCUUGUGUUGUGUGGAGGAAGAAGCUAACAGGCCACCCUCUGGCUUCACCCGCAGGAGGAGGAGUGGAAAGUGCCUGAAUAAAACCCUGCACAGGUGGACCCCAAAUUGAGGAGGGUUGAAAAGAGAAGCAGCAGGCUUUGAAAUCUGGCGGCAUUUCAGUGACUGAGAACCCCGGGGAAAUUAAGCUCAGAGUCACCCUGGCUUUCUCCUCCUGCACCUCAUUUUUGGAGGGGAGGGAGAAGGAGAUGGAGUCCUAACACACACACACACACACACACACACACACACGUCUAUCUUCCCAACCUUCAAGAGCAAGGGAAGUGGAUUCAGAACCUGCCCCUAAAACAUUCCCUUCAAGAUGCUAGGCCUCAAGAGAGCUGGAGGCUGGUUGCGCCUCUGGCAAAGAACCUGCCCAGCCUUCCUUCUGACACCUCAGCUCAGCAUUACUGACAAAAUCAAUAGACAAAACUCCCACUCUGACACGGACAUUUCAAAUGCCUCAUCUGCUCUCCUUGCAACUGUUACGGGUGCGAAUCCACGCCUCGCUUUGCUCUGGAACCUCCUUCUUCCCCCUCACUCAGCUUCUCCCUGCUUUUCUGAAGACAAAACCAAACCGGACCUUCAGGAUGACCAGACACGAACCCUCACUCACUUCCCACCUUUCCUCCAUCUCUUGCACCAACUGAGGUGCACAGCGAAGCCAACAAACCUCCCUUUCACAACGCCCCCCCCCCCAGGUAAACCACAUUUCUGAUGCAAUCCAACACCUGGACACUCAAUGGCCCAGAAACAUUAACCUUGUAGGCAUAUAUCACACAUACACACACACACAUAACUUUGCCAACUGAUGUUUACGAGACAGUCUGAGGGACCGGUUUAAAUAUGCUGCCCUGAAAGGACCACCUCAGACUUUUUUGCCCCUACCUGCCUCACAUGUAACGACAAACCUCCUGUUAAAGUAGAGAAAAUGGCAAAAUGCAGACAGCAGCACAGAAAUCUCCUUUCCCCUACAGAUCACGGGGCAAUAACAUCAGAGGCUGCAAUCACAGGGACCUCCAGAAGUUGCUGGAAUCCUACUCAGCCUUAACUGAUGCUGGCUGCAAGGGGCGGGUGGGAGUUCGGGUACCAUUAUGCCUAGAGGGGUCCGUCCCCCCCCCCCGUCUACCUUGUUGGGUUCUUGUUCCAUCUACUCAUGGCUACAGACCUCGGCGUUGGACGCAACUCACUAAAGGAACCGUGCUUUUCCUGGACUGUAGUGAUUUAGAUUCCCUCCCCCCAGCACUUGACUCCCCCAGGUUAAAGGUCUGUUUGCCUGAUGAAAAUGCAAAGGUGGUCUGCAACUUCCUUUGACCCGGUGGCACGUUUUCUCCAGAGAAGAUGGCAAAGGAUUUUGGAAUGACUGGAUGCUGUCUGGAGACUGGCAGGUUUCGGCUAGGAACCAUGAGGACCAGCACCGGACAGCUGAAAGUCUUCAGGCAGAAACCUUACAGCAGGCCUGCCUGAAGUCUUCUUUCCACAGCCAUUGGCAUGUCAAAGGGGAGAAGGGGCUUUGAAUGGGAAGGGGAGACCCCAAAAAAGUGGGGAAAGCUCAGCUCAAGCCAAGACCAAGAGCGGGGAAAGAGAUUGAAGUUCUCUCACUGACGUCUGGGAGGUGGCGGCAGAAACUGAGGCCUCCUCCUUUGGCAAAGCAAACAACUUCAAACAAUUAUUUGGCACCUUCAACUUCGUAUCCAGUAACAGAAAACACAUGAUAAUUUGGGUGUGCAGGCUGUCCUCCAAACCUUCUGCGACCUUACGGUGGGAUGUCUAACACAUCCCUUGCAGAGCCACAGGGCAUGGAAGAAGCAGCAGCAGAUGUGGGCGAUGUGAGCAAGGAAGACGUGGCAAGGAAGCACAUCCUUCGCAGCAUCCUCUAGAGGACCCUGGGGUUUGUGCCCACGGGUCAUGUCACCCACACACGGCACUCCUGUGACAGGCUUUGCCUCCCGAGUCUCAGAAAGGAGCCGGCGACUCACACCAAAGCGGCAAGGAGGAAAUUCUACCAAGCCAAAGGAAGCGCCACUUGUGUUUGUGACCUGGUG